CCUUAUCCUUUGUUGCCAGCGAUUAGGUCGGGAACUCAAAGGAGACUGCCAGUGAUAAACUGGAGGAAGGUGGGGAUGACGUCAAGUCAUCAUGGCCCUUACGACCAGGGCUACACACGUGCUACAAUGGCGCAUACAAAGAGAAGCGACCUCGCGAGAGCAAGCGGACCUCAUAAAGUGCGUCGUAGUCCGGAUUGGAGUCUGCAACUCGACUCCAUGAAGUCGGAAUCGCUAGUAAUCGUGGAUCAGAAUGCCACGGUGAAUACGUUCCCGGGCCUUGUACACACCGCCCGUCACACCAUGGGAGUGGGUUGCAAAAGAAGUAGGUAGCUUAACCUUCGGGAGGGCGCUUACCACUUUGUGAUUCAUGACUGGGGUGAAGUCGUAACAAGGUAACCGUAGGGGAACCUGCGGUUGGAUCACCUCCUUACCUUAAAGAA
rnacentral:rRNA from 1 species